GACGAACCGUGCGAACGUUGUUCGGAAUCACUGGGCUUAAAGGGCGCGUAGGCGGCCGGCCAAGUCGGGGGUGAAAGCCUGUGGCUCAACCACAGAAUGGCCCUCGAUACUGGACGGCUCGAGACCGGAAGAGGUUGGUGGAAUUGCGAGUGUAGAGGUGAAAUUCGUAGAUAUUCGCAAGAACACCGGUGGCGAAGGCG
rnacentral:rRNA from 1 species